UCCCAGGUAGCUAAACUGGUAAAGAAUCUGCCUGCAAUGCAGGAGACCCUGGUUUGAUUCCUGGGUCGGGAA
rnacentral:tRNA from 1 species